UUUUUUUAUAUUUUUGUGUAAUUUGUUUUUUUUUAAUUCAUUUUAAUGUACCCCUCCGUGGGUCGCCACCUUAACGUGGUGGAGGGGUUUGAGUGCCCCAGUGAUCCUAGGAGCUAUGUUGUCGGGGGCAUUUGUCCCUGGUAGGGUCUACCAUGGCAAACAGAUCCUAGGUGAGUGAGGGGACAGACGAAGUGCAGCCAGUGACAACUGAUGGAGAAAUCAAAAUAUUAAACAUUGUUAAAAUAGCUAAUAAAGGUGUUUCAAUAUUGUAACUGUAUUACUGCAAUCAGUGUUACCAUCAUGAAGCAAUGCGGGAACACUCAUCUUGGAUUAAGGGGCCAAAUGUGCACAAUUUUCUUUGAUAUGCUUUCCGUGGUGAUUGUAACAUGUUUUGGUUUUAGUUUGUAAUUUUUUGAAGUUGGUUUCUUUUUGUGGAGUCUCUUUCAUCCUCAGAGAUUGGGCGGCUCCUUUCUGCAACUUCACACCUGCACCUUAUCACUGUAAUCACCAUAGGCAUUUAAGCCCUGCUGUGAGGCUUCUCCAGUGCCAGAUUAUUCCCGCAUCAGAUAGUACCUCCACGAGCCCCAGUGCUACUGCCCAAUCUCUGCCACGCUGCCAUACUCUCUCCCCAGACCUCUCACCAGCCUCCUCCUCAAGCUCUCACUUCUCCAGCCUUAACCCCACCUCUGAUUUCCCUCCUCACACCUUGGACCCUGGAUCCCUUCCCUCCUUGUUUCCUUCAAUAAAUUCACUGAACUGCU